rnacentral:rRNA from 1 species
AGUGAACGCUGGCGGUAGGCCUAACACAUGCAAGUCGAACGGCAGCACAGUAAGAGCUUGCUCUUACGGGUGGCGAGUGGCGGACGGGUGAGGAAUACAUCGGAAUCUACUUUUUCGUGGGGGAUAACGUAGGGAAACUUACGCUAAUACCGCAUACGACCUACGGGUGAAAGCAGGGGAUCUUCGGACCUUGCGCGAUCGAAUGAGCCGAUGUCGGAUUAGCUAGUUGGCGGGGUAAAGGCCCACCAAGGCGACGAUCCGUAGCUGGUCUGAGAGGAUGAUCAGCCACACUGGAACUGAGACACGGUCCAGACUCCUACGGGAGGCAGCAGUGGGGAAUAUUGGACAAUGGGCGCAAGCCUGAUCCAGCCAUACCGCGUGGGUGAAGAAGGCCUUCGGGUUGUAAAGCCCUUUUGUUGGGAAAGAAAAGCAGCAGGUUAAUACCCCGCUGCUCUGACGGUACCCAAAGAAUAAGCACCGGCUAACUUCGUG